CGCGCCUCUUCCUCUUCCGACUCGCUUUCUCAGAGGAUGGAGGUGAGUGCAACACAAUCCUGUAACAUCGAAGAUCGUAUGCGGUGUUUUAACAGCUAGGUUUCAUAAGAAGUUUGUUUGGGUGUUACAGCACUAGAUCGUUAGUGACUCUCGGGCGUCCAGCGCAGGAUGAGUGUUUACGGAGGUCAGAAGUAAGCGGGUGCAGUGUGUAACCGCGGUCGGCCUUCCAGUCUUUAAAUAUUAAAAAUGACUUUUGCAAACAGUUAUAAGGUUCUGAAUGCACUCUUGGGUUUGUGAGUGCAACAUUGUUUGCAGAGUAGUGUCCAAAAUCGACGCUAUUUUAGUCCAUGUAAAUUUUUUUUUUGCAUUGGUUGUUCAAGGGGUCUAGAUUGAGUUUGUAUAUAAUGUGGAAAUAGGCUAGAUGUACCAAAAUGCCAAGUCUAGCCUUGGAUACAAUAUGUAGUCAGUUGUGCCUCAUUUUUAUUUUUUAUAUAUGCCAUUGCUGGUUACAGAUGUAAGGCUAUUUCUGGUGUGAAUCCGUGGAUGUCUCCCUGAUCUCCUCAUGUUUCUUCCUGCUCUCCAGGUGCUUGCCGGAGUGAAUACUGGGUCACCACGUGGCUCCGCCGCCUCACUAGUGCAGAGGUCGGAUGAUGCCAAAUGAGACGUCCCAUCAUCAAAAUACUGCUCGAGAUGUCCCAAGUGAGCCUUCUCUAAGAGGUUCAGCAUCUGUAGUGGGGUUUUCACGGUUCCUGAGACUGCUCCAGGUUCUCCGACAGCGUGCUGAAUCAACGGGCAGACUUGCAGGUGCGUUGCUGUCAGCUUGUAAUGAAGUAAUUCCUGAUCAAGGAUGACUAGAUUUUAUUGGUGACUGCUGGAUGAAACUUGCGGAUAUGGGACUGAGAUCAGUGCUCGUCAAUUAGUUGUCCGUGUCUAUUAUGACUUCUGGUAACUAUUCAUUUUUUAUUUUUUUUAGGUCUUCAGCAGCUCCUGACCAGCAAGUGGAAGUUGUAAAAUGAGUGACGCAAGUUCAACCUAAUAUGAAAGUGUGGAUUGGUCUUUCAUAUCCUGUUCAUGGUCCUUUGUUUGUUGGAUCAACUCUGUAAAAUAAAGACUUGCUACCAGAAUUUGCAUUGUUGCUUUUUAAUGUCUCUUUAAACUCUUACCGGUUAUG
rnacentral:lncRNA from 1 species